CAUAGAUGCCGGAUGCGCAGUGGGGAGAGAAGGCGCUCACCUCAUUCUGCUUUUUUCUUCCAUCAAGGCUUCAUCCCAAGCUGGAAGCAGCAGGUUCUAAAUCCCGUGGACAAACUUCAAGAUGGAGGGAUCUGGUUGCUUGUCCACUGAAUUCCCACACUGGACUAUUGCACAAGAGAGAAAUGAACUUUUUGUUAUUGUGGUGACAGGAGGCUGAAAUGAGAGAAGAGUUGUCCGUUCUGCUGGAUCGGGUUACUGCUAACUGUGCAUCACACAAGUCAUUCGUAGUGCUUGGUAAAAAGAAGGAUUCCUGGGCCUCUUUCCUGAAAAUUCUGUCAGUAGUUCUAAGGAGCAACCUGGGAUCCAUGUUGUUAACACAUGUCAUGGACUCCCGUGCCUGGCCACACCUGGGAGACCCCACCCUCAUCUGUCCAGAUGUCCUACCUGCGAUCUUGGAUAAGUUGCUUCACUUUCACAUUUUAUCUCCCUGGAAUACAGAGGAUAAAAUUUAUGAUCUAUGAAACAAAUGUCUGCUGAGAUGAAGGUGAUGCCCAUGAAAACAGCCAAACUCCUUACAUCAUGAGAUUUACAUACAAGCCCCAAUGAUGAUGAUAAUUAAUUACUGUUAGUAUCUGUGCUCUGGAUUGCUAUUUUAUGUUUUAAAAUUCACUUUAUCAAAAAACAAACCCACUUCAUUUUAAAAGGGGAGGGUGGGGGUAAAAAACAAGUUCUAUGUUUCCAUGGAAAGCUUUUCUAAGAAUUUCUGCUGCGCUGAUGGGUGUUUAGCAGGGAGCUCACACUGAGCUGACCGUCCACCCAUGACAAGUACGGCUGCUUCCAGAAUGUAGAGAGCAGGGCAGGAGCCACAGGGAAGCUCCACAGGUGAGUCCAGUAGCUAGAGGUGAGGGCAAUUUAACACAAGGAUAUUCAGGCAGCAACUGGUUCUGUGGCAGAUUACCAUAUGGAACGGGGACGGAUGUAAGAGAUUCACUUUGCAUGAGAACUAUCUUCUGCAGUCCAGCUGGCUCUGCACCACUUUAUUUUCUGUUCAGCUCACAGGUCCCAUCCUUCUCUCUGAAUAUUCUAAAAUCUUUCACACCAAAAUGCCAACUACAGCCAAGCCCUCUAUGUAACUCAAAAGUCAAACUGCUUCUUGUCCCUGAUUGCAAUUUUCUUCUAUAUCCAUUAUCCAAACACAGAGAGCAUUUCCCUCUAUAUCCAUAAUCAAACAAAGAGGGCAAACCACGUAGAGGCUUAUUUCCUGGGAAAUAAUCCGAGUAGUUAAGAAAACUUGUUUGAAUGACAUCACGAGUUUUCUAAAAUAUCUUAGAAGUAAAUCUUGAUAUUUUCUAAGGAAUAAUUUGAAGAAUUCUUUUAAUCUGAAAGUUUCUCUAUGAAAUAGAGGGGAGUGGAGGGAGAUCAAUACAUUUAGAUCACAAGUUUUCUGCUUACUUUCUGGAGAACAUUCUAAUUUUUAAAAUAUCAGGUCCCAAAAGGGAAAGCAUAUUCACCAAAAAGAGAGAUGAAAAUGUAAAGGGAUGGAUGUUAAUUAGAUGGGUGGAAUCCUUUCACUAUGUAUGUGCUGUGCUUAGCUCAGUUGUGUCUGACUCUUUGCGACCAAAUGGACUAUAGCCCACCAGGUUCCUCUGUCCACGGGGAUUCUCCAGGCAAGAAUACUGGAGUGGG